rnacentral:lncRNA from 1 species
AUGGUUUAUUCAAACUGCCAGAGCAAGACCUGGAGCAUGAGUAACAUUCCAGAGAGCUUUCUGUGAAAUUCACGCAGUGGAAAGUGACUGUAACCGGCUAUAUAUUACACUUGCCUACUACCAAAUCAUCCUGGAAAAUCUCAGGGGCACCGAAAAGGGUUUCCCUCAAAGUUUAUGAUGCGGUAUCUCUAGAAGGGAGGAAGGAGACCAACAAUUUAAACUUACUUCACUAAAGAGCCAAAUAUCCGUUGCUACCAAUGUAUGUACAUUUUACAUGAAAUCUGGGGUUGGGCUUGGGCCUUUGGGGGAGGAUGCUUCACUAUCAACAGUGACUACUGAGCCCCUUUCUAACUCUUAGCAGAAUUGCAAAGUCAAGCUUGGCUUUGGCAUCAGAGGAAAGAGGAAGGAGAAAAAUCUCAAUUACUAAUAGUAUUAACCACAAGUCUUAGAGGUGGGGGAUGGAUAUAUUAAUAUCGAAUAGAGAGCAAGCUCAAAAGAUAGACCCAAUUCUACGCAGAGUUCUUUGACUCAGUUUCUCUAUCUGGUAGAGACUACCUCUCCAGGGUUCAUACCAACCCUUAUCAGGUUCCUCCAUGGGACAAACACUCUUCGAGGAGACAGCUCCAUGUCUCUUGGAGUUUUGAUGAGAAUUUAUUUAUACCUCUCUACUUUUUAAAAACUCCUUUUUAUCCCCCAUCUCCCCUCAGCUGUAGAGGCCAAAUGGAUUUUGAUAACUUGGUGCACCAAAGAGUUUACUUCAGGGACACAUGAGCCUCCCUUGCUUGUACCAUAUCAUGCCAUUUUCUCCUCCAAAAGAAAGAUGACUUUCGAGAAGCGACCAAAAUGUGUUAUGAAAACAGGUAUUACAGCCAGGAGAGAUCUUACCACAAGUAUGCUGCUUAAAAAUAUGAAAAUAAAGGUAGCUCGUGAGAAUAAAAAUGUACAGAACAACACAUCUAAUUAUGCUCAGGGUCCAGACCCACAUUUAUGAAACCUUUGAUCCUAAAGUAAAGGUUAAAGUUUUCAGAAGUGAGAAGGGGCAUUUUCCAGUUCCAGGAUCCAAGGAGUUCUCAGCAUCCAUGAGGGUGGAAAGAUGACAUGGACAUCUGGACCGUGCUGAGCGGCGAGGCCAUCACCUUCAUGUUGGUUCUCACAUGAAGACCUUGAGGAGCUGCUGGCAUUCCUCUUAAUGCAAUCAAUGAAUGUGUUUCCUCCCAUCUGCUCAUUUGACCUUAUUUUGUUUGGAAUCAAAGAAGGACAGAAAGAGCUAAAGGGGUUGGAGUGAACUGAGGUGCACAGAAUGAGGGGAGCUGAGGAAGCCCCAAGGAAAUAUCUGGGCUGUGGAGCCCACAGGCAGGGCUUCUCUCUGUCUUCUGGGAUGUCAUUGUUUGCUCCCCGCCCUCCUAGUUGUUCCUGCCUCUCACUUCAGAUUCUCUCCCGGAUGUAAUAAGUGAUGGUCUUCCCAGCCAUCAUCCCCUAUUGACAAGCAAAUGUCACCUAUGUUUGAUUGACAGCCUUUGCUCCUGAAUGCAAAAGUAUGAUUUAGGAAUCAAUUCUCCUUAUUUAUUUAAAGCCGUUCUUGGGUGCCUUCUGUAUUUGUGAGUGGGAUAACUCAGCUAAUAUCUACUCUGAGGGCUUUCUAUUAAUAUUCCAAAUCCGGGCUGUUUCUUCUGCUCUCCCAUUGCCAAUGGGGGAGAGGGGUGUUAUAUUUCCCUGUUUCCCCCUCCCCUAAUGUACAUUUGGGAAAUCUGCUAAGGAGCUUAUGGAACUCUUUCUGUAUCUUCAGGGGAGACCUUGCUUCGCACUCAUGUAAAGGUUGCUUGCUUUAUCGUAAGACUUCUGAAGGCAUUCUGACAAGUGAUUAUUUCUCAUGCAUGUAGCACCCUGAAGUAGAUGCAGCUUCAAGCCCAGUGACGGUAUCUGCCAAGAACUUGGUGGAAUUGCAAGCCUGUUAGUCGAGUUCGUGUUGUGCAGCACUUGUAAAAAGAACCAACCGUCUCCUCUACCUGGGGUGGACGUGUCCAUUGAAAAUCAUAGAGAAAUGUCCUUUGGUGUUGUAACACACCUUCCUGCUCUCGGGGUAAUGUUUUAUUUCAUUUGGAAAGCUGGAGAGGAAAAUCAGAAGGUUAAAAAAAUCAUAUGUACCAUCUGGAAAACCCUAAAGGGCCCUCCUUAUGUUAAAAGUGGCAUUUUGCAGAAACACCUGAUUGUGGGUGAGUGGGCCGGGAGAGACACACUGGCAACGAGGCCACCUUCCUCUUCCUUUCCACCUUCACCCUGACCCUCCAAGUGGGGCUCGGGCAGGGGGGAAACAGGCGGCCUCGGUGUGCCCCGGCCAAGGCUGGGCACAGCUGAUCCCUCCCCCAGGUUUGUCCGGCAAGAGCGCUGCCAUCGCCUGGGUUCGGCAAGGGAGUAUUCAGGAUCUCGCUGCUCAUCCAUGUGCAGCGAGAGAAAAAAAGAGAGGCCGAGAAAAAAAAAAUCCCACAUUGUCAGAGUAAUGCCAAACUCUGUCUGAGUGGGAUGAGCGCAGCAGAUGCCGCACGGAGAUGCCAAAGCGGCUCCCCUUCCUCCGUGCCUCGGGUGCCUAUAAAUUGCUCCGGCGCGCGUUUCUCAGCCUCCUCUCCUCCUGGCAGGUGGUGCCCAGGCAGAACCCUGCGCUCAGUCUCUCUCGCGCUCCGCUGCCGGCCGCGAGGCGCUCGCCACUGCUCGCUGGCUGCUUCCGCGCUGCAGCCCGAGCCGGGCCGAGCCGACCGCGCCCGCCCGCGCCACGCCGCCGGGGGCCCCGGGGAGGGGCGCUCCUGCUGGAGUUGUGGUGUCUGCAAAGAAGGAAGGAGAAGGGAGGGGGAGAAAACGCAGGGGAAGGGCGAGCCGAGCCUGCGAACGAAGAGGAGGAGGAGGAGGAGGCAGAAAAAGGCAACUUCGGACGGAAAGUUGGUGCGAACUGGCGCAGUCUGCAAAAACGGGAAAGUCGAUCGCAGGCAGCGGGGGCAUAAAAGUGUGAGCGGCCCGGGACGAGCGAGACGCGGCGGCUGCCGGCUGCGCCCUCCGGGUGCCCGCGCCCGCGGCGGCAGCCACAGGUGCGAAGGGGCUCGCGGGAGGCGACCGGGCGCCCCGCGCA